AGAUUGAACGCUGGCGGCAUGCCUUACACAUGCAAGUCGAACGGCAGCACGGAGCAAUCCUGGUGGCGAGUGGCGAACGGGUGAGUAAUAUAUCGGAACGUGCCCAGUCGUGGGGGAUAACGCAGUGAAAGCUGUGCUAAUACCGCAUACGAUCUAUGAUGAAAGCGGGGACUCGCAAGAGCCUCGCGCGAUUGGAGCGGCCGAUAGUCAGAUUAGCGUACGUUGGUAGGGGCAAAAGCCCACCAAGGCGACGAUCUGUAGCCUGGUCUAGAGAGGACGACCAGCCACACUGGAACUGAGAC
rnacentral:rRNA from 1 species